rnacentral:rRNA from 1 species
AUGGAGAGGCGCGGGGACAAGGGGAUGGCGGCGCGGGCGAGGCGCCACGCCGACCAGCCGUCCUUUUCGUCGUCGCUGCUCGACGCGAUAUACAGGUCCAUGGAGGACGAGCCGGGCCACGCCGCCGGGGACGCGGCGGCGACCAAGAAGAAGCAGCAGCAGCAGGAGGAGGCCCUGCACUACAGCUACUACUACAGGCCGUCGCUGGCCGGGAGCUACCGUGCGCGCGCGCCGGCCCCGGGGCCGCACGCCACCACGUCCAGCUCCUCCGAGUGCUCCAGCUACGGCGGCUUCUCCUCGUCGGAGGCCGAGUCGUCCAACCACCGCCGCCUGCGCCCCAUCCGCACCGCCGUGCCCGGCGAGCAGCCCGCGCCCGCGCCGGAGAAGAAGGCCAAGAAGCAGCCGGCGGGGGCCUCCAUCCGCGCCAAGCUCAGGGACCUCCGCAAGCCGGCCUCCCCCGGCGCGCGCCUCGCCGGCUUCCUCAACACCAUCUUCGCCGGCAAGCGCGCGCCGCAGACGCCGCCCUCGGCCCGCACGGCGGCGGAGUACGCGUGCUCGUCCGCGUCGUCCUACUCGCGGUCGUGCCUGAGCAAGACGCCGUCGACGCGCGGGCACGCCAACCGCACCGUGCGGUUCGUGGACAGCGACCGCGAGGCGCCGGCGACGGUGCCCGGGGCGGACCGGCGGAGGGUGCCGGUGGAGCAGAUGCUGCUCCGGCGCAUGGAGAUGGAGAGCGACGAGGAGGACGACGAGGACGAGAGCAGCGACGCCAGCUCCGACCUGUUCGAGCUCGAGAACUUCGCCGCCGCCGCCGUGCCGCCGGGCGCGGGGUACCGGGACGAGCUGCCGGUGUACGAGACGACGAGGGUGGUGCUGAACCGCGGCAUUGGGCACGCGCACGGGCACGGCCGGAGCGCCAGAGUUGUCUGA